AUUGGUACUAUACAGACCCCCAAAAGGUGACUGCGAGCCGGGUACGGGCACAGCCAGAUGACGGUCCUUUCAGGGGCCGUGUAGUGGAGUUUAGCCAGAAAAAGU